rnacentral:rRNA from 1 species
UUCGCAAUGCCCGAAAGGGUGACGAAGCGACGCCGCGUGCGGGAAGAAGGCCUUCGGGUUGUAAACCGCUGUCGGGAGUUAAGAAAUGCAAGGGUGUUAACAGCAUCCUUGCUUGACUAAGGCUCCGGAGGAAGCCACGGCUAACUCUGUGCCAGCAGCCGCGGUAAUACAGAGGCGGCAAGCGUUGUUCGGAAUUAUUGGGCGCAAAGAGCACGUAGGCGGCUGUGUAAGUCGGUUGUGAAAGCCUUCCGCUCAACGGGAGAACGGCAUCCGAUACUGCAUGGCUUGAGUGCGGGAGGGGAGAGUGGAACUUCUGGUGGAGCGGUGAAAUGCGAAGAUAUCAGAAGGAACACCGGCGGCGAAGGCGACUCUCUGGCCCGUAACUGACGCUGAGUGUGCGAAAGCUAGGGGAGCAAACGGGAUUAGAUACCCCGGUAGUCCUAACCGUAAACGAUGGGCACUAAGUAGAGGGGUUUU